rnacentral:rRNA from 1 species
AUUAGAGUUUGAUCCUGGCUCAGGACGAACGCUGGCGGCGUGCUUAACACAUGCAAGUCGAACGAUGAAGCCCUUCGGGGUGGAUUAGUGGCGAACGGGUGAGUAACACGUGGGCAAUCUGCCCUUCACUCUGGGACAAGCCCUGGAAACGGGGUCUAAUACCGGAUACGACUGUGGAAGGCAUCUUCUGCGGUGGAAAGCUCCGGCGGUGAAGGAUGAGCCCGCGGCCUAUCAGCUUGUUGGUGGGGUAAUGGCCUACCAAGGCGACGACGGGUAGCCGGCCUGAGAGGGCGACCGGCCACACUGGGACUGAGACACGGCCCAGACUCCUACGGGAGGCAGCAGUGGGGAAUAUUGCACAAUGGGCGAAAGCCUGAUGCAGCGACGCCGCGUGAGGGAUGACGGCCUUCGGGUUGUAAACCUCUUUCAGCAGGGAAGAAGCGAAAGUGACGGUACCUGCAGAAGAAGCGCCGGCUAACUACGUGCCAGCAGCCGCGGUAAUACGUAGGGCGCAAGCGUUGUCCGGAAUUAUUGGGCGUAAAGAGCUCGUAGGCGGCUUGUCACGUCGGUUGUGAAAGCCCGAGGCUUAACCCCGGGUCUGCAGUCGAUACGGGCAGGCUAGAGUGUGGUAGGGGAGAUCGGAAUUCCUGGUGUAGCGGUGAAAUGCGCAGAUAUCAGGAGGAACACCGGUGGCGAAGGCGGAUCUCUGGGCCAUUACUGACGCUGAGGAGCGAAAGCGUGGGGAGCGAACAGGAUUAGAUACCCUGGUAGUCCACGCCGUAAU